GUGUUCUAAAGGACAUCCUGUAGGAAAAUGGAGGAGAGAGAGUCUGCCUUUCAUUAUUAAUUUCUCUUACUAAUUGCAGAGAAGCGAGCUGACCCAACUGAGAUACUACAGAUAUUGAGGGGAGGGGUAAUCACCUGCUUUAGUUAGGAUGAGGGUGAUUUAGACUAUGGUGAGGAUGGAUAGCUGGAACAAGACUGGACUUUAUGGAAAAUGGCAGGUGUGGUUUCAGUCUUCUACAGGGCUCAUUGUGUCUCAUGGAGUGUCUAAGGCCUGGGAGACAUAGCAAGCUGGAACUUAUGUCAGAUGUCUGAAGACCUAGUCUUCAGGCUUCUAUGUGUUUCACUCCCUCACCUUCCUGGAAAGACUCUGAUGGAGAAGAGCAAAGAGAGCAAGGGCAGAGACCAUGCUCCGGCUGAAGAAAAGUCCAACAUGUACCUUUCUGGGCCAGAUCGCUGGAACCGAUAUGUCUUGAUGCUGCACUGUGUCUGCUAUGUGGAACAGUUGGUUGGCAUGGGACUUGGUGACUUCGUUGGCCUCCCCACUGCCUUAGAAAGUCAACCCACAUAAAUCCAUGCUAUUUGGACUUCUCUGAGCCAGCUAUAUCUGCUUGCAACCCUCGUGCCAUUUAGAAAAGAAACUGUUAGUACAUGUUUGCUUACACGAUUUAAACUUGUUUCAAAAUGUC